GCUUUUGAUCAUGAAAUUACCUAUGAUUUUAAUUGAUGAGCAGUUAUGAUAAUUGAACGAGUGAGAAUGUAAUUGCUCAAAGAUUUAAAAAUGGUACUUUGCAUUGGCAUGCUGCAUCUGCAUUGGAUUUUCCUUUCUAGUUAUAUUUGUUAAUUUCUUUGCAGUUAUAGCGUUUGUCAAUAUCAGAGAUAUGAAUUCAUUUCAUUGUAGUUGAAUGCCCUAAAACAUCUUUUGAAUUGUUGAAGCCUUAAAUUUGUGUAACACCAGGAACCAGCAAAUAGAGUUUAUAUUAAUUUGUA
rnacentral:misc_RNA from 1 species